rnacentral:rRNA from 1 species
AUUGAACGCUGGCGGCAUGCCUUACACAUGCAAGUCGAACGGCAGCAUGGAGGAGCUUGCUCCUCUGAUGGCGAGUGGCGAACGGGUGAGUAAAGCAUCGGAACGUACCGUGUAGUGGGGAUAACGUAGCGAAAGUUACGCUAAUACCGCAUACGCACUGAGGUGGAAAGCAGGGGAUCGCAAGACCUUGCGCUAUACGAGCGGCCGAUGUCAGAUUAGCUAGUUGGUAGGGUAAAGGCCUACCAAGGCGACGAUCUGUAGCGGGUCUGAGAGGAUGAUCCGCCACACUGGGACUGAGACACGGCCCAGACUCCUACGGGAGGCAGCAGUGGGGAAUUUUGGACAAUGGGGAAACCCUGAUCCAGCCAUGCCGCGUGAGUGAAGAAGGCCU